GUUUUUUUGAUUAUACUUGCUUUUGAUGUUUUCCUUUCUUUUUACAUCACAAGAUGGUUUCCAGUAAUGCAGCGGAUUUAUUUCCACUAUUGCAGCUUAUUUUCUCUGGAUAUAUCUAUUCUGUCCCUCUGCUUUAGAGACUUUACAGGUGGAGACCUACAACCUUCGAUCUCCUGUUAUCCUGCAGCAAGAGUUCCUGUUAUGGACUUGUAUAUUUCGUCUCCUCGUUCCCCUCUGCUCGGACGCCACUACCUCGUGACUGCUUUUCGUCUGCUGGUCUGUCAGCCCCCUAAGACCCCGCCUCCUGGUGUGUGCCCGCGUCACGUCAUCACGUCCAUCCAAUAUGUUGAUAUAUUUUAAUGUUAAAUGAGUGUCCCCAGCACCCCUCUGUGCUGUUUUGGCUAAUGAGGAAGUAUUAGCCUGAGCAGCAAAAGGCAGCUGUAAUUGGUUGAGUGUGUCAGCUGACUGCUUUUAGCCUAUCAGAGCUCCAACUGACGGUAUGAAUGGUAUGACUACAAGGAAGUGUGUAAUAGCUGCCCUAGCCACUCCUCCACAAGGGCUAAUCUCUGCCCUAGCCACAUCUCCACAAGGGCCAGACUGUGGGUGGUUAGAGACCCUUAUUUGGUGUUAAACUGCUCUAAAAUGCUUAAAACCAAUUCAAAGAGAUACCAUGGUUAUAGUGCCUACAGUGUUCCUUUACGUUUGUUUUUACAUCACUUCUCUCCCAUUUCAGCCUGCUUUUUCGCAAAGCACUGCUGUUAUAAAGACAUACCUAGCUUGUAAUGUAUUUUGAGUUAAGCAAUUACAAUUGGAUUACAUGCUGGUAAAUAGGUUCUCAUUUUAAUGCCCUUUGGCAUUAUCAUAAUAUGUGAAAACUCGUGGUUGGAAUCCUAAAAAUGUUUAUUUUUGUUCUAUUGGCUUUCUUCCUCUUGUUGUGCCGUAAGGAGUUAUUCACAAAAUUUAGGCUUGCCCAUUCAUUUUUCUUAGCUUUAUCUUGUUGCAUUCACUAAACGUCAAUCAAGUCUAACUUUAAAUAAAUGCAAAAUAUUGACAGUUUCCUUCAUUGUUAACAGUUAAAACACAGUCAAGCAAGUUUUUCCUGAAUGUAAGUCCUGUCUUUUAAGAAAGAAAUCUUAUUUUUACAGAGCUAUUGUAUGUAUAUCCAACAACACUGAUUUAAUGAUGUUUACUUGUUAUGGCUUUAAAGCAGUGUGUUGUGUAAACUGUAAUCUAUAUUUAUACAAUUGCUUUACUAGUAAAACAGAAUGUUUCUCCUUCUAGCCCAAUUAACCUGGAGCCAAGUACAAAGGUAAUUUGGAUAUCGUAAUACAUAAUUGAGAAUUUUCAGAAGAAAAUUACAGUGGACCACUAAACAGUCGCUUCAGGUGUUGAUAAAUCAUCAGUAUGAGACUUGAUACACGUUCAGUGUCAUGCUGGGUUUUACCUUGGUUAUUCUCCCCUCCACCCCCCUUCAUGCAGGUAUUUGGGUACUUUGUUACUUUUUUUUGUUUACUUUUGUGUAUAUUUCUUUUUAAAUUUUUGAGCACUCACUACUAGAUCAAUUUCUCUGUAUUAAGGUCACCGAGCCUUCUCGC